CAGUAGCCGCGGUAAGACGGAGGGUGCUAGCGUUGUUCGGAAUCACUGGGCGUAAAGGGCGCGUAGGCGGCCUGUUAAGUCGGAUGUGAAAGCCCGGGGCUCAACCCCGGAACUGCAUCCGAGACUGGCAGGCUUGAGACCGGGAGAGGAGGGUGGAAUAUCCAGUGUAGAGGUGAAAUUCGUAGAUAUUGGAUGGAACACCGGUGGCGAAAGCGGCUCUCUGGCCCGGAUCUGACGCUGAGGCGCGAAAGCGUGGGGAGCAAACAGGAUUAGAUACCCCGGUAGUCCCUGUCUCUUAUAU
rnacentral:rRNA from 1 species